AAACCAUCAAGUACCCAAGUUUGACUGUAGUUUGAAAGAAUAUAAACUUCUUGAGGUCCAGGAUUGUAACAUCUUUUUACCUAGUACAGUACCUGGCUCCCGUUGAGGAAAGUUGAGGCAGACAGACGUUCAAUGUGAGCCAUUAAGCACCUGAAGCCAUGUUUGGAGUUGGGUCUUCCUCAUCCCAGGACCAGCGCUCUGUCCACUGUGCCACCUCGAUGCCUUUUAGCAACAAGAAGAUGAAGAAACUGAGGCCCAAAGGAAGAAAGUGAUUUCUUCAAGUUGACACAAGUAGUAAAGCCCAAUUUUGAGAUCAGGUUUGAAUCUAUGUUCUCUGACUUUAAAUCAACACUCUUUCUAGGUCCCCUGAAGGAAAGAAUUCUCUUGAUUCUUUUGAAUUGUUUCCCUUAGAUCUUGAAACCAAAAUGUUAAAAUUAUGGGAAAUGUCUCCCAUACCGAACCAUAAAGGGUCAGCUUGAACUUCUGCACUUCUUCAACAACUUUAAAACAGUAAAUUAUCAAAAAUAAAGAAUAAUACAUUUACA
rnacentral:lncRNA from 1 species